rnacentral:rRNA from 1 species
CCUACGGGAUGCAGCAGUGAGGAAUAUUGGUCAAUGGACGCGAGUCUGAACCAGCCAAGUAGCGUGAAGGAUGACUGCCCUAUGGGUUGUAAACUUCUUUUAUAUGGGAAUAAAAUGUUCCACGUGUGGGAUUUUGUAUGUACCUUAUGAAUAAGAAUCGGCUAACUCCGUGCCAGCAGCCGCGGUAAUACGGAGGAUCCGAGCGUUAUCCGGAUUUAUUGGGUUUAAAGGGAGCGUAGGUGGAUUGUUAAGUCAGUUGUGAAAGUUUGCGGCUCAACCGUAAAAUUGCAGUUGAAACUGGCAGUCUUGAGUACAGUAGAGGUGGGCGGAAUUCGUGGUGUAGCGGUGAAAUGCUUAGAUAUCACGAAGAACUCCGAUUGCGAAGGCAGUUCACUGGACUGCAACUGACACUGAGGCUCGAAAGUGUGGGUAUCAAACAGGAUUAGAUACCCCAGUAGUC